rnacentral:rRNA from 1 species
CAUAAUAUCCAUCUCGUAUGGAUUAAAGCUUUAUGCGCUUUGGGAGGGGCCUGCGUAACAUUAGCUUGUUGGUGAGGUAAAAGCUCACCAAGGCUUCGAUGUUUAACUGGUUUGAGAGGAUGACCAGUCACACUGGACUGAGAUACGGCCCAGACUCCUACGGGAGGCAGCAGUAAGGAAUCUUCCACAAUGGGGCAACCCUGAUGGAGCAAUACCGCGUGCAGGAUGAAGCGUUUCGGCGCGUAAACUGCUUUUAUCACCGAAGAUUAUGACUGUAGGUGAAGAAUAAGGACCGGCUAACUACGUG